CCUACGGGAGGCAGCAGUAGGGAAUCUUCCACAAUGGACGAAAGCCUGAUGGAGCAACGCCGCGUGGGUGAAGAAGGUUCUCGGAUCGUAAAACUCUGUUGUGAGGGAAGAACAAGUACCGGAGUAACUGCCGGUACCUUGACGGUACCUCAUUAGAAAGCCACGGCUAACUACGUGCCAGCAGCCGCGGUAAU
rnacentral:rRNA from 1 species